rnacentral:rRNA from 1 species
GGUUAAGCGACUAAGCGUACACGGUGGAUGCCCUGGCAGUCAGAGGCGAUGAAGGACGUGCUAAUCUGCGAAAAGCGUCGGUAAGGUGAUAUGAACCGUUAUAACCGGCGAUGUCCGAAUGGGGAAACCCAGUGCAAUUCGUUGCACUAUCGUUAACUGAAUACAUAGGUUAACGAGGCGAACCGGGGGAACUGAAACAUCUAAGUACCCCGAGGAAAAGAAAUCAACCGAGAUUCCCCCAGUAGCGGCGAGCGAACGGGGAGCAGCCCAGAGUCUGAAUCAGCUUGUGUGUUAGUGGAACGGUCUGGAAAGUCCGACGGUACAGGGUGAUAGUCCCGUACACCAAAAUGCACAGGUUGUGAACUCGAAGAGUAGGGCGGGACACGUGGUAUCCUGUCUGAAUAUGGGGGGACCAUCCUCCAAGGCUAAAUACUCCUGACUGACCGAUAGUGAACCAGUACCGUGAGGGAAAGGCGAAAAGAACCCCGGCGAGGGGAGUGAAAAAGAACCUGAAACCGUGUACGUACAAGCAGUGGGAGCACCUUCGGGUGUGACUGCGUACCUUUUGUAUAAUGGGUCAGCGACUUAUAUUCUGUAGCAAGGUUAACCGUAUAGGGGAGCCGCAGGGAAACCGAGUCUUAACUGGGCGUUAAGUUGCAGGGUAUAGACCCGAAACCCGGUGAUCUAGCCAUGGGCAGGUUGAAGGUUGGGUAACACUAACUGGAGGACCGAACCGACUAAUGUUGAAAAAUUAGCGGAUGACUUGUGGCUGGGGGUGAAAGGCCAAUCAAACCGGGAGAUAGCUGGUUCUCCCCGAAAGCUAUUUAGGUAGCGCCUCGUGAAUUCAUCUUCGGGGGUAGAGCACUGUUUCGGCUAGGGGGUCAUCCCGACUUACCAACCCGAUGCAAACUACGAAUACCGAAGAAUGUUAUCACGGGAGACACACGGCGGGUGCUAACGUCCGUCGUGAAGAGGGAAACAACCCAGACCGCCAGCUAAGGUCCCAAAGUCAUGGUUAAGUGGGAAACGAUGUGGGAAGGCACAGACAGCCAGGAUGUUGGCUUAGAAGCAGCCAUCAUUUAAAGAAAGCGUAAUAGCUCACUGGUCGAGUCGGCCUGCGCGGAAGAUGUAACGGGGCUAAACCAUGCACCGAAGCUGCGGCAGCGACACUAUGUGUUGUUGGGUAGGGGAGCGUUCUGUAAGCCUGCGAAGGUGACCUGUGAGGGUUGCUGGAGGUAUCAGAAGUGCGAAUGCUGACAUAAGUAACGAUAAAGCGGGUGAAAAGCCCGCUCGCCGGAAGACCAAGGGUUCCUGUCCAACGUUAAUCGGGGCAGGGUGAGUCGACCCCUAAGGCGAGGCCGAAAGGCGUAGUCGAUGGGAAACAGGUUAAUAUUCCUGUACUUGGUGUUACUGCGAAGGGGGGACGGAGAAGGCUAUGUUAGCCGGGCGACGGUUGUCCCGGUUUAAGCAUGUAGGCUGAUUGUCCAGGCAAAUCCGGAUAAUCAAGGCUGAGGUGUGAUGACGAGGCACUACGGUGCUGAAGUAACAAAUGCCCUGCUUCCAGGAAAAGCCUCUAAGCAUCAGGUAACAUCAAAUCGUACCCCAAACCGACACAGGUGGUCAGGUAGAGAAUACCAAGGCGCUUGAGAGAACUCGGGUGAAGGAACUAGGCAAAAUGGUGCCGUAACUUCGGGAGAAGGCACGCUGGUGUGUAGGUGAAGCCCCUGCGGGUGGAGCUGAGACCAGUCGAAGAUACCAGCUGGCUGCAACUGUUUAUUAAAAACACAGCACUGUGCAAACACGAAAGUGGACGUAUACGGUGUGACGCCUGCCCGGUGCCGGAAGGUUAAUUGAUGGGGUUAUCCGUAAGGAGAAGCUCUUGAUCGAAGCCCCGGUAAACGGCGGCCGUAACUAUAACGGUCCUAAGGUAGCGAAAUUCCUUGUCGGGUAAGUUCCGACCUGCACGAAUGGCGUAAUGAUGGCCAGGCUGUCUCCACCCGAGACUCAGUGAAAUUGAACUCGCUGUGAAGAUGCAGUGUACCCGCGGCAAGACGGAAAGACCCCGUGAACCUUUACUAUAGCUUGACACUGAACAUUGAGCCUUGAUGUGUAGGAUAGGUGGGAGGCUUUGAAGCGUGGACGCCAGUCUGCGUGGAGCCAACCUUGAAAUACCACCCUUUAAUGUUUGAUGUUCUAACGUUGGCCCCUUACCGGGGUUGCGGACAGUGUCUGGUGGGUAGUUUGACUGGGGCGGUCUCCUCCCAAAGCGUAACGGAGGAGCACGAAGGUUAGCUAAUCCUGGUCGGACAUCAGGAGGUUAGUGCAAUGGCAUAAGCUAGCUUGACUGCGAGCGUGACGGCGCGAGCAGGUGCGAAAGCAGGUCAUAGUGAUCCGGUGGUUCUGAAUGGAAGGGCCAUCGCUCAACGGAUAAAAGGUACUCCGGGGAUAACAGGCUGAUACCGCCCAAGAGUUCAUAUCGACGGCGGUGUUUGGCACCUCGAUGUCGGCUCAUCACAUCCUGGGGCUGAAGUAGGUCCCAAGGGUAUGGCUGUUCGCCAUUUAAAGUGGUACGCGAGCUGGGUUUAGAACGUCGUGAGACAGUUCGGUCCCUAUCUGCCGUGGGCGCUGGAGAAUUGAGGGGGGCUGCUCCUAGUACGAGAGGACCGGAGUGGACGCAUCACUGGUGUUCGGGUUGUCAUGCCAAUGGCACUGCCCGGUAGCUAAAUGCGGAAGAGAUAAGUGCUGAAAGCAUCUAAGCACGAAACUUGCCCCGAGAUGAGUUCUCCCUGAGACUUUAAGUCUCCUGAAGGAACGUUAAAGACGAUGACGUUGAUAGGCCGGGUGUGUAAGCGCAGCGAUGCGUUGAGCUAACCGGUACUAAUGAACCGUGAGGCUUAACCUU